GGGUGAUGCCGCGCGGUCGCCGGCUUGGGAUGGUGUUCGCGCCUCCGAGACCCGGACAGAGGCAAGCAGGGGCGCCGUGGGUGCCAGAGAGGCGGAAGAGGAGGCCUGAUGGGGCCUUUACUCUGCUUGUCAUUGAGCUGAUGACCAAGAUCCAGCCUAGAGCACAAGAAGACAAACGCUGCGUGAUCUCGUGUGUAGAACCUAACAAAGUGGAACUCACAGAAGCAGAGAGUAGAAUGGUGGUUGCCUGUUGGAAUGGGGAGAUGGUCAGAGAAUGCAAACUUUCAGUUGGAUGAGAGGAAGAAGUUCCAGAGAUCCAUUGUGCCACAUGGUGACAAUAGUUAAUAACAAUGUACUGGGCGGUGGGGGGUGGCUUACGCCUGUAAUCCCAGCACUUUGGGAAGCUGAGGCAGACAGAUCACUUGAGGUCAGGAGUUCUAGACCAGCUUGUCCAACAUGGUGAAACCCUGUUUCUACUAAAACUACAAAAUUAGCCAGGUGUGGUGGUGUGCGCCUGUAAUCUCAGCUACUUGGGAGGCUGAAUCGCUUGAACCCAGGAGGUGGAGGUUGCAGUGAGUCGAGACUGCGCCACUGCCCUCCAGCCUGGGUGACACAGUGAGACUCUGUUUCAAAAAAACAAAAAAAAGCAAUGUACUGUAUACUUGAAAAUUGCUCACAGGGAUUUUAAAUGUUCUCACCAUUACAAAAUGAUAAAUAUGUGACAUAAUGCAUAUGUUAAUUAGCCCGAUUUAGUGAUUCCACAGUGUAUACAUAUAACAAAACAUGUUGUACACCAUAAAUGUAUACUAUUUUUAUUUGCCAAUUAAAUAUUUUUUUUUAAAGUUUUAGCCUGCAGGUUUAGCUUUUUGGGGCUGAAGCCCCAUAGCCCCCUCCACUUCAACACACUCAUCAGCAUUGUAAUUACUUUGUAAUUAAUGCCUGUGUUCCUACUAAAUUGUAAGCUCCACAUGAGCUCUGCCUCCAGGUGCUUGCAAAAAAACCAAAAGGGGGUGGGGGUAGAUGCUCAAAACCUGUUUAUUAAAUUGUAUUGAAAUUGAAACGCUUGAAACAGAUUUCAUUCCUGCUUAUUUUCUAACAGUGGUUAAAACUUGGUAACUUCAAGUUGACAUGGAUUUCAGAAUUCAAUGUAAUUUCAAUAAUAUUAUAAUAGAACAAACUUAGGGUUGCCAACAUUUAUUUUGCUAAGCAAGGCUAUUUUAAAAACAACUAUCAAUAAUUAUCUUAUUUUAAAAAAUACAUUUUAACCUUAUAUAUACAUGUUUGGAAUAAAAACAGUCCUUCCUGAGAAGGAAGAGUUGGCAGACCUACAUCAAUAAAAUAAAUAUAUUCAAAUGCUUUGGA